rnacentral:rRNA from 1 species
UACAGAGGUGGCGAGCGUUGUUCGGAUUUACUGGGCGUAAAGCGUGCGUAGGCGGUCGCGUGUGUCGGAUGUGAAAUCCCGGGGCUCACCCCCGGAAGUGCAUCCGAAACUGCGUGGCUUGAGGCCGGGAUGGGUGACUGGAACACAUGGUGUAGCGGUGAAAUGCGUUGAUAUCAUGUGGAACACCGGAGGCGAAGGCGAGUCACUGGAACGGAUCUGACGCUGAGGCACGAAAGCGUGGGGAGCAAACAGGAUUAGA